GGAGGGGGUUGGGGGAGAGAGAGAACAGGCAAUAGGAAGAACUGAGAAGGAGUGGGAUAGGGACCCGGAGUUAUGGGGAGUCAGAUUAAGCGACCCGAGAAGCGGCGGACUUAUCUGGAGCUGGAGUCACCGGAGCCCCUGCCGCUCCGGCUGCCCCAGUGAGCCCCGGCUCCCAGCGCCCGGUGGCUGCAGUCCAGACCUCCGAGCGACUCGGGCGGAAGUCGCAGUCUGCGCGGGCCUCCAACACCUUGUUUUGCCCCGGCCCCGCCCGCCGAGCGCCGAGAGCAAGCGCCGAAGUUGCACAACGUGGAGCUGUCUGGCCAGGACACUGGGAAUCCGCGUCCAGGUUGCAUCCAGCUGGGUACCCGAUGCAGCGCCCGCCUACUAGGAUCAGCUGCCUUCUUCGGUCACCUUACGACCGGAGAUGGGGUUCCCGGCGUCCGCGAGGGACAAGGAUCCCGGCUGCUCUAGAGCCUCCAGUCCCAAGUUGCUCCUCUGCUGCGUCUCAGGGCGCCACGCGAGACCACUGAUGUGCACAACCAGUGCCCCUCAUCCAACACCACCAGAGAAGCCCAUGUAAAUGCCUGGGGAGACUAUGGCAGUUACUGAGGGGACAGUCUCUUUGGAAGGAGGAAGACUCACAUCCUGGGGCACCUGGAUGAAGGCAAAGGCAUACUCCGUGGCUUGAGCUGGCAGUACACGAGUGCUGAAGGCAGGGGGCAGGGUCCCCAGGCGGGUGGAUGGCAGGAUCUCUCUCUGCAGAGGAAGCACCAGGCCAACAGUAUAACAUAUUCAAUGAUCCCUUGCUCUCAAGGACAACCCUCUGUGACAGGCCUCUGGGAAUUCCAACUCUGGGUCUUCCUUGCUGGCCCACAACUUGGUUCUACUUAGCCAUGCACAGCUGGUUAGCCCUGGAAGCACAGGUCCUACUGAGCAGGCAGCCAGCAGGGAAGCUGUGAUUCCUGCCCUCUCACUCUGGGCUUGGUUCUGGCACACUUGGUGGUUCCCAUUAAUAUAAUCAUGGUGACAGCUGGA